UACGAAGGGUGCAAGCGUUACUCGGAAUUACUGGGCGUAAAGCGUGCGUAGGUGGUUUGUUAAGUCUGAUGUGAAAUCCCCGGCUCAACCUGGGAAUGGCAUUGGAUACUGGCAGACUAGAGUGUGGUAGAGGGUAGCGGAAUUCCCGGUGUAGCAGUGAAAUGCGUAGAGAUCGGGAGGAACAUCCAUGGCGAAGGCAGCUACCUGGACUGAUACUGACACUGAGGUGCGAAAGCGUGGGAGCAAACAGG
rnacentral:rRNA from 1 species